rnacentral:rRNA from 1 species
UGAGGAAUAUUGGUCAAUGGGCGAGAGCCUGAACCAGCCAAGUAGCGUGAAGGAUGACUGCCCUAUGGGUUGUAAACUUCUUUUAUAAAGGAAUAAAGUCGGGUAUGCAUACCCGUUUGCAUGUACUUUAUGAAUAAGGAUCGGCUAACUCCGUGCCAGCAGCCGCGGUAAUACGGAGGAUCCGAGCGUUAUCCGGAUUUAUUGGGUUUAAAGGGAGCGUAGAUGGAUGUUUAAGUCAGUUGUGAAAGUUUGCGGCUCAACCGUAAAAUUGCAGUUGAUACUGGAUAUCUUGAGUGCAGUUGAGGCAGGCGGAAUUCGUGGUGUAGCGGUGAAAUGCUUAGAUAUCACGAAGAACUCCGAUUGCGAAGGCAGCCUGCUAAGCUGCAACUGACAUUGAGGCUCGAAAGUGUGGGUAUCAAACAGGAUUAGAUACCCUGGUAGUCCACACGGUAAACGAUGAAUACUCGCUGUUUGCGAUAUAUAGCAAGCGGCCAAGCGAAAGCGUUAAGUAUUCCACCUGGGGAGUACGCCGGCAACGGUGAAACUCAAAGGAAUUGACGGGGGCCCGCACAAGCGGAGGAACAUGUGGUUUAAUUCGAUGAUACGCGAGGAACCUUACCCGGGCUUAAAUUGCAGAUGAAUUACGGUGAAAGCCGUAAGCCGCAAGGCAUCUGUGAAGGUGCUGCAUGGUUGUCGUCAGCUCGUGCCGUGAGGUGUCGGCUUAAGUGCCAUAACGAGCGCAACCCUUGUUGUCAGUUACUAACAGGUUUUGCUGAGGACUCUGACAAGACUGCCAUCGUAAGAUGUGAGGAAGGUGGGGAUGACGUCAAAUCAGCACGGCCCUUACGUCCGGGGCUACACACGUGUUACAAUGGGGGGUACAGAGGGCCGCUACCACGCGAGUGGAUGCCAAUCCCCAAAACCUCUCUCAGUUCGGACUGGAGUCUGCAACCCGACUCCACGAAGCUGGAUUCGCUAGUAAUCGCGCAUCAGCCACGGCGCGGUGAAUACGUUCCC